AACUGAGAGCGCGCGUUUCCGAGGCAACGUAACUCAUCCCUGCGUUUUAUUUCACAAACCUGCGAGUUCCGUUAAAGAUGUGGCUCUUGUUUUGGGCUCUAAUCCUGCCCUCAGUACACGUUUACUUAAUAUCGGACAGCUUAUCUGUAUCAAAGGAUAAUCUUUUUUGACUCAUCUCGUCUGUGAUUUAGAGCAAAGCAGCAAUGAGGUGAAAAGGUGUGAUGAGAGAUGUGGAGCAUGGCCUGAGUUGUGGAAAGUCAAGGCCGAAAACACAAAGCAGACACAAGAGUAGAGUUUAAGGAGGCAGAGAACGAGCCGAGAGUGGGAGUAGGAAUACGGGAUGAUGUAGGACUGAACUGAGAGCAGGUGAACACAGCUGUGGACUGCCGCCGGCUCUCUUCAUCCUUUCCUCCCUCUCUUCUUCCUCUCCUCAGAGGCUCCGGCUCAGUGUCUCGGGGUCUCGUGGAGACAGCAGGGGCCGACCAGGCUUCAACGGAGUGGGCAGCAGAGGCGGGCAGUUGCACCCACCGGGCACAGGCUCCUCAGCAGAGCAAUCAAUACGGAGGGAAGAGGCUGCCAGGGGUCAGGCGACGCAGCCCCAGGCCAUGGUGCCAAGGGAUCACCAGCGCUCAUCUCUCCCUUUACCAGUCAACUUGCAUCAGCCAAAGGCAGACCAUGUGUGAGAGCAAGAGAGUGUGUGUGUGUGUGGUUCUGCCGGAGGGACCUUUAGUCCCAACACCACUUGAUAAAACUUUGUCUGCGGGAGAAUGAACAGAAAAAGAGUGUCAAAGGUCUUUUUCCCUCUCCUCAAUUCCUUUUUUACUGUGAGUGCACAUUCCCAGUGACUGUUUGAAUGAGGGCUUGACGCACAAUCCCUCUUACAGGCCCUCCUCCAAGCCUCUACAUCAGAUGAGCUGGCAAGAGAGGACAACUUGAACUUUUGUCUUUUUUGGAGGACAUUUUUUUGCCUUUUCUGUUGUAGAUUAAAUUAGAUGAUUUUUUCAAAAUCCUCGCCACUGUUUGAGAGCUUCUAAAAAGGCUUUGGUUUUAAUCCACAUGAAGAGGCUUGGCACUCUUGUCUACGUACUUUAAUACUGCUGGACCUCCACAGUACCAGGUUUUAAUAAGAUGAUGCUCAGAGGGAUUCCAAAGUAGUGGAGGCUAAGCUCCAAACCUAGGACCAAAAUUACUUAAUAAAAUUUCCCAGUAUGUCCAACAUUGUUUUCAACCAUUCCCUGAUCCAGAGCUUGUGAUAAGGAAAGCUCCAUUUACUUCCAUGAGACACAACGAACAUAGGUGUAUGCCAUGCUUUUGUUGCUAAAGGUAGUGCCACGUCCUGAUGGAUUCUUUAAGGAAUGAAGUUUACUCGGAUGGAGGGCGGAUCCUCUGAAAUGGAGUUUGGAGUGCUGUUCCUAGCCACUCCCUGGACGGUGUGUUUCAGAUCUGUAGCUGUGACCCACUGCAGGAGGAAAACGAUAACAUAAUUGAUGUUUUACUGUUAAUGAUUGCUUAAAACAUUUUGCUUGCGCUCCUUUUAUACCGGUGAGUAUUUCAAUAAGGUAAGUUUCCAAUUAUCCCUUAAGAGCAUUAAUAGAAAACGCUGUAAUUUUGCUUCAAAUCAUUUCAAAUGCUUUUUGGAGAAUUUUUUAAUCAGCAGCUACACUGAAAAAAAAUCAUGGUAUGUAGGUCUCUCUGACCUAAUAAUAAUAAUAAUAAUAAUUUUAUGUUGUAAGAUUUUUUUUAUCGUUUUCAGUUUUUCUAUUAAUAUGUAUUUUUAUUGUAUGAUGUACAGCAUGCUAUGGAAAUCUGAAAUAUUUAUAGAAUUAAUAUGAGAAUAUACAGGUAUAGAUGGUGAUAUUAUCUGCAGACAUAUUUGCAUUUUGAAUAACAGACAAAUACAAGACGAAAAAGCAAAACCUGCUUGUACGAAGCAUAAUAUCUUCAUCACCAUAUUUUAAUUAUAGCCUAAGCUCGGCUUCUAUGGCAACCAUACUGUAUAUUUUUAUUCUGUUCCACAUAUGAUUGUGUGAAGUUGUAUGCUGUUGUAUGAAUAAUGUAGUAAUUAAAGGAUUAUGCAGAAUGAAUGAACAAUAAAAGCGAAAAGUGAAUUUA